AUGAAUGCUGUAAAUGCUGUGCAGCUGUUCAUUCUGGUUUGGACCUUUACUGCUGUCUGUCAAGCUGAUAAAGAUAUCAUAGUAAGCUGUCAGAAUGUGACUGGAUCUGUGGGGAAAGAAGUAACUCUCACCUGCAGCGUCUCUCUGCAGAUCACUGAAUGCUGCAUUAUAAAGUAUAAGUUUCAAUACCCUGAUAUCAAUAAUGACUCUGCAAUCUGUCGUCAAGAUGUUCCUGUGAACUCCUGUGAACAGAGAAACAGUUUCACAUGCCGCUACACUCCAACUACAGCGAUGACAGAACAAUUCAGAUUCUUUGUGCAAACAAACCGUGGACCGACCCGAUCAAAAUUCACUGUUGACAUAUCAGGUACUACAUACAGUAACAUUUUUGUUUAUAAUUUAGUAAAUCUUUGCAAAUGUACAUUUAUGUUCAAUCUACUAACAGUGGUUUUAAACCUGUUAAGAAAGACCAUUAAACCUGAAAAUAAUAGUAAAACUCUUGGUAAGAAAGUUAAUAUAUUCUAAUUCAAAUGUUGAUUACUUCUUUAGUUUCCUCAGAAUCAUCAGGAUCCUCUCCACCAGAGACAGCAGCAGGAUUCAAGAAUACUGUCUUCACUGUGGUUGUGGUUGGUUUCAUCAUCAUCAUCAUCAUGACGGCAAUCAUUUGCAGAACAAAACCAAACUUCACCAAACUUUGUAGAGGCCAGAACUGGAUGUUUUUGAGAGUCAGACAUGAUGAGGACAACAAUCGUCCAGGAAUUGAGAUAUUAUAGCAUCGAGUUUUGUUCAUUGUGACUUUUCGUGUGGUGCUCAUGAAACACACAAGCUUUAUUUGAACUCCACCAAACUCUACACUAUCUUAUAUCUCAAACUACUAAAUAUAUAACUCUGGCUGUAGGUUUUAAACAGUUGUUUCUGUUUUAUAUUGAUUUCUGUGAAAUACAGCAUAUUAUUGAUCUGUUUGAUCAGAGUAUAUGACUUUAAUAAACUCAAACCUUUGUAAACUUUAAGAGGAAAC
ensembl:lncRNA